rnacentral:lncRNA from 1 species
UCACUUUUUGUCCUUUUGCAGACAUGGCUUAUGUUCCUUCUCUGAAUUCUGGGUACUUGAACUUAUUCCUGUUCUUGAGCAAGAGCCUGGAUUAACUGUGUGGAGGAAGCAUGCUUACCAGCUCCCAAAAAGGAACAGUCCUUCCUUCUUACUAAA